rnacentral:rRNA from 1 species
GCCGGUGUAAAGACGGUAAUAGAGGGAUUGCUAGGUUUGAGUAGAGAUGAAGGACGUGGCAAGCUGCGAUAAGCCCGGGGUAAGCGCACGCGACUUAUGAUCCCGGGAUGUCCGAAUGAGAAUCUUAUGUUUUAACAUACUCCGUUACGUAGGUGGCGGAGGUCGAACCGUCGGAAUUGAAGCAUCUUAGUACGACGUGGAAGAGAAAUCAAUAGAGAUUACCCAAGUAGUGGCGAACGAAAAGGUAACAGCCCAAACUGAAUCUGUUAUGGUAACUUAACAGAGAUGUGGUGUAUACGGACUCAUAUAAUGAUCCCAGAACAUAGUUGAAGUAAUCUGGAACGUUUUGGCAUAGAGGGUGAUACCCCCGUAAACGAAAUGGUAUGGGAUUAGUUGAGUACCAGAGUAGAUGUCCUUGGUAGUGGGCAUCGAAUAUUAGGAGAAAGUAGCUUCUAAGGCUAAAUAUAACUCAAAACCGAUAGUGCACUAGUACCGUGAGGGAAAGCUGAAAAGUACCCCGGAAGGGGGGUGAAAAGUGCAUGAAAUCUAUUACUUACAGACGUGCAUAGCAUGAAAGGUGAUUUUUCUAAAUUGGAGGUUCUAGCAAUAGAGCUAAAGAUUUGGAGCUCAAAUCGUCAGUGUUAUGCGUUCCGUCUCGAAACACGGGCCAAGGAGCUGACUGUCAUGGCAAGACUAAACCAGACAAGGUGGAGUCGAAGGGAAACCGAGUUCUCGCAGCAUUAGCGAGGAGAAGCGUGUGAAAGUGCGUUGAGUCAUGGCGGCCAGGCUAGAAGCCAGUCGAUCUAAUCCUGAACAAGCUGAAGGCGGGCGAAAGCCCGCUGGAGGGCUGAAGCAGUUCUGACGUGCAAAUCGUUUGUGUGAUUUGGGAUUAGGGGUCAAAAACCAAUCUAGACUGGCGAUUGCUAGUUCCAACCGAAGCGUCUCGUAGGGCGUCCUUAGUGGAGAUAGCGUUUCCUGUAGAGCACUGAUAAGGGAGUAUGGGGAAGAAAUUCCUCGCUCCCCAUUCAAACUCCGAAGGGAUAUGCAUUGUAGAAGCUAGGAGACGGGUUCGUGUGACGUAAGGUUCACGACCGAGAGGGGUUUAACCCAGACCGAAGUUAAGGUCCCUAAAUUUUUUCUAAGUGUCAAGCUAAAGUGUGUGUUCGCGCCAAGACAGCAGGGAGGUAAGCUCAGAAGCAGCUAUCCUUUAAAAAGUGUGUAACAACUUACCUGCCGAGCGUGGGCGCCACAAAAACGGACGGGGCUAAAGAAAAGUACCGAUACUUUGGAUACAUGCCAAUGGGCAUGUCAUGGUAGGUUGGCGUAGUGAUUGGGUCGAAGCAGGGCGGUGACGUCCUGUGGACCAUUUUCUAUUGCAGAUCUUGGCGGCAGUAACAGCAUAGUAGAGUGAGAACCUCUACCACCGCAAGCGCAAGGGUUUCCAGGCAAUGCGUUAUCAGCCUGGAGUUAGUCGAUCCUAAGGAUUACCUCAACAGAGUAAUUCGAAAGGGAAACUGGUUAAUAUUCCAGUACCUUGCAAGUUGCGUUAUUAUCUAUAUGAACCGCUUCCGGAUAGGGGGAGCAUAACCAUCGUUGUGUUUAAGCGUUCGAGAGAUGAGGAGUGUCGUAAUGACGAGAAUCAUCUCGAGGCGUUAAUGGCUCUGCGUUAGCAGAGUUCUCUUGAGUCCAGGGGACCUUGAAAAUUUGUGUAGAAAGUGACUUGCAUGUUCGUACCGAGAACCGACACAGGUGCGCUGGCUUAGAAAGCUAAGGUGCUACGGGUAUACCGUAUGGUGAGGGAAUUCGGCAAAUUAGUCCUGUAGCUUAGGUAUAAGGGAUGCCUGCACACUUCAUGAGGAAUGGGGUGAGCAGGUUGCAAUGACAAGGGGGUUUCGACUGUUUAAUAAAAACACAGGCGACUGCUAGUCCGAAAGGAUUUGUAUAGUCGCUGAAUCCUGGCCGGUGCGGGUACCUAAAACUUGGGUUCAACCGAGCUAAGGGCCCGUUAACGCCGGGAGUAACUCUGACUCUCUUAAGGUAGCCAAAUGCCUUGUCGGGUAAGUUCCGACGCGCAUGAAUGGAACAACGAGAGCCCCACUGUCCCCACCUACAACCCGGUGAAGCCACAUAA